rnacentral:misc_RNA from 1 species
AAAAAAAAAAAAAAAAUAUUAUUAAGGGGGUAUGUGAAGUAGGCUGCCAGUAUAUCUUCAAAGUUUCCUUUUAUUUACUUAUUUUUUUAAGGCUCUCUUUUUAAGCCAAACUUGCAAUGGGCUAUCAUAUCACUGUGCCUUGUCCUUGCAAAGCUUUUUGGGAUGUUUAUUGUGCAUGUUGAUCGCAAUAUAUUUUUGAUGUAGAACCAUUAGGCAUUGGGGAUUUGUGGUGAGAAACAAAUUCUCAAAUUGAAGAG